UACGUAGGGGGCAAGCGUUGUCCGGAAUCAUUGGGCGUAAAGAGCGUGUAGGCGGCCAGAUAAGUCCGCUGUGAAAACUCGAGGCUCAACUUCGAGCUGUCGGCGGAAACUAUCUGGCUAGAGUCCGGAAGAGGCGAGUGGAAUUCCUGGUGUAGCGGUGGAAUGCGCAGAUAUCAGGAGGAACACCGAUAGCGAAGGCAGCUCGCUGGGACGGUACUGACGCUGAGGUGCGAAAGCGUGGGGAGCGAACAGG
rnacentral:rRNA from 1 species